GACGAACGCUGGCGGCGUGCUUAACACAUGCAAGUCGAACGGAAAGGCCCUGCUUUUGUGGGGUGCUCGAGUGGCGAAGGGGUGAGUAACACGUGAGUAACCUGCCCUUGACUUUGUGAUAACUUCAGGAAACCGGGGCUAAUACCGGAUAGGUGCUCCUGCUGCAUGGUGGGGGUUGGAACGUUUAGGCGGAUGGGGAUGGACUCGCGGCUAAUCAGCUUGUUGGUGGGGUAGUGGCUUACCAAGGCUUUGACGGAUAGCCGGCCUGGGAGGUUGGACAGCCACAUUGGGACUGCGAUACGGACCAGACUGCUACGGGAGGCAGCAGUGGGGAAUAUUGCACAAUGGGCGGAAGCGUGAUGCAGCAGCGCCGCGUGCGUGAUGACCGCCUUCGGGUUGUAAACCGCUUUAGCCUGUGACGAAGCGUGAGUGACGGUAAUGGGUAAAGAAGCACCGGCUAACUACGUG
rnacentral:rRNA from 1 species